CAAUAGAUGAACGCUGAUUCGCUGAAAACAAAAAACGUCACUUCCGCAGCUCUUUAAGUACGUGCGACAGACGUUACUUGGCCACGUUUCGAAUCGUCCGUUGGCGAGGUAGCAGCUUAAAAUUUUCGCCCUUUAAACGUUAUCUUUGUUUUGUAUUGUAUUAUUUCCUUAAGUUUUGGAUAACCAAAUACGUUUUCUGCUUUUGGUAAUGUGUCUUGAAAUCAUGAAAGGAAAUUAUCAGAAGGACAUUGAGACCACACCUGAAAAUAAGAAGAAAUGUUCCAGAUCCAAGAGGAGAACAUAUCUGCGUGCAGAUAUGGGAAACGCCAGACUCCGAACACACCGUUGUGAGAAAAGACGACAAAUCCGCGCCUGGUCAGCCAGGAGAUCUCAAUUGAGUCCGGACCGUGUUGCUGUUUGGAAGGAUCACAAUCGUUCUGUACCAUCUGGUGCCAUGGCACCGAGAAACACAACACAAUAUUUAAUGGACUUGGUGUACGCCGAGCGUCUAGAAGUUUCAACGGAGACUUGUGAUAUAAGCCCAGAGUUUUCAAAGCAGAGUCAUGUUUCAUUUGAUGAGAGCAUUUUCUCAUUGCCAGACUCCGAUUACGACAGAUCUUUGAACUUUCAACAGCAAGACUUCGAGAGUGUGCUCUUCAUGAAUGAAAUCUGACGUGCUCACCGAAACAUGACUUGAUUUCGUCGCAGCGAGACGACCGGGCAGCUGUGAAACCAUAGACCGUAAUAUGUCAUUGCGCAGACUCCAACUCGGGGAGGCAGGACGCUCUGCGUCACAGCUGUGCGAUGACGUACCUGUGCCACGCCUCGCCCCAAGCACUCAGGUAAAUCCACUCCACCCUUUCAGGUGUACGUGGUGUAAGUGCAAAGUUACGUGCUGUCGCAAUGUAAUUUCUAAAAAUGCAUGCACUAUUCUGCCAUCGGAUGCAUUUGUGUGUUUGAGAGACUUUUACAGGUUGCUGAUCCUCCUCGGUGGCACUCAGCUGUCUUUUCAGCGCACUUGGAUUCUUGGGACAAAGCCACAUUGCAUCCUGAACAUCACAAUGUUGGGUAAUUUUGCAUACUGUUGUAAAUGUAUGAAUGUGUGAUAACAUGAGUGCACUCGAGUGAGAACUUCAUGACCAUCUGUAUUAGGAAAUAUUUUGUAAGAAUUCCUUAUGAAUAUUGAUUGUAUUAACUAUUAAAACUUGUUACAACUGACUUCCAUAAA